rnacentral:lncRNA from 8 species
AUGGCUCCACCUGUGGAGGAGGCUCCUACCAAAAUGGUGAAAGUGGCCACUACUGUAGUGAGGAGACGGUCUGCUACCAGCACUACAGAGGCAGUGACCAAGAACACACAGUCUACAACCACUACCUCCAGCAAUACAGAGGGACAGACCAAGAACACACCGUCUGCCACCACUACCUCUACAGAGGGAGAGACACCCUCCUCCUCCUCCUCAUCUGCUAAGGACGACGACCUUCACCUCAAAGUCCUAGAGGAGAGCCUCCUCAGCGCCAAAAUCUUCUCCAACUACGAGGGGAGGUCAGUGUCUAUGAGUGGCAAAGAUAGCGAGGCUUCCUUCCUGUCCAACCUGCAGCCUCUAUGGAGAGGGCUUGUCAACAUGCCUGCUGUGGCCAAGCUCCUCACUAAAGCCUUCCCUGUAUCAGGUGUCCUGGACCACCUGACAGAGGUAAAACUGCACAAAGAUAUUUAUAAGUGCCUAUAAAUGUUUAUUAAUUCAUAUAAAUGCAUCAUAUAUUUUGUUUUUCUUCAAUGAAAUGUAAUGCUUUAAAUAGUGUAAAUGUGUUUAUAAAUCCUCUAAUGCUUAUUCAUGAAAGUGAUAGUGUUACAACACAGCAUUUAGAUUUUCUAGUUAUUGAAUGCCUUUAUCUAAAUGCCAUUUAUAUUAACAACUCAACAAACUAUCACGUUGAAGGGUAGAUAGCAUAAACGUAACCACAAGCAAAUACUUUAUGAAUUUGUUACAAAUCAACUUCCAAGGUUGCUUGCCAACUAGGCUGCUAACUUUAGCCCUACUCUCCUGCGAACAUUAGCCCUACCAGCCUGCUAAUGCUACAUUAGCACUAAAUGAGUCAGCCAGUUUCUAUCAACAUCUAGCUACCAGCUACAUUAAAGUAAACCAACGUUUUGGAAAUACAGGGCCUUCAGAAAGUUUUCCAAUUUUUGUUGAAACAAAGUGGGAUUAAAAUAGAUUUCAUUAGAUUUUUUUGUCAAAGAUCAACACAAUACUCUACCAAAGUUGAAGAAAAACUCUAACAUAAAAAAACUGGGUUACUAUAAGAGCUUUGCACACCUGGAUUGUACAAUAUUUUCUCAUUCUUUUAAAAAAUCCUUCAAGCUAGUUGUUGAUCAUUGCUAGACAGCCACUUUCAAGUCUUACCAAAGAUUUUCAAGUGAACUGUAACUAGGCCAUUCAGGAAUAUUCAAUGUUAUUUUGGUAUGCAACUCCAGUGUACUUUUGGCAUUGUUUUAGGUUGGCCUACUGAAAGGUGAAUGUCUCCCAGUAUCUGUUAGAAAGCAGCUCUAUUCCAUUUCUUUUUAUUUAAAAAAAAACCCAUCUCCCUAGUCCUUGCCCAUGACAAGCAUACCCAUAACAUGAUGCAGCCACCACCAUGCUUGAAAAUAUGAAGUGGUACUCGGUGACGUGUUGGAUUUGCCCCAAACACAACGCUUUGUAUUCAGGACAUAAAGUUAAAAACAUUUUUUUUUUUUUUUCAGGUUUACUUUAGUGCCUUAUUACAAACAGGAUUCAUGUUUUGGAAUCAUUUUUAUUCUGUACAGGCUUCCUUCCUGUUGUUCCAUCCUCAGUUUUCUCUUAACGUGACCAUUCAACUCUGUAACUGUUUUAAAGUCACCAUUGGUCUCGUGAAAUCCCUGAGCGGUUUCCUUCCUCUCCGGCAACUGAGUUAGGAAGGAUGUCUCGAUCUUUGUAGUGACUGGGUGUAUGGGUACACCAUCCAAAGUGUAAUUAAUAACUUCACCAUGCUCAAAGGAAUAUGACAAGUUUUUUUAUAAAAUCAAUUAAUCGGAUGAAAUGGUGAUAAUCCCUGUUAUCAGGAUCUGCCGGAGAGUUUCCAGAUGGGUGGGAGGAUCUCCCCACAGAUCGUAUGGGACUACCUGGACAAGAUCAGAGCCACUGGAACAAAGGUAAGUUCAAAGUGUAGGCCGACCUUCUUGAAAUAUGAUAAAUGAAUUUAAACAUCAGAAGUUGUCAUGAAGAGCUUUUACAGUAACCUGGCCUAGAUGUGAGAGCAAGUAUGAUAUAUAAAUAUAAUAUGUCAUUUAGCAGACACUUUUAUCCAAAGCGACUUAGUCAUGUGUGCAAACAUUUUGCAUAUGGGUGGCCUGGGCAGUAAAAGUAUAUUCAUCUUUCCAAGACAAUCUGUGCCUGAACUGGAGAUGAAUAGUAGCGGUCUAGCUAUUAGCUAUGUUUGGGGUACGAUGCAUAAAAUGUAGUCUGAGAUUUGUUUGAAUUGUACAUGUUCCCUGACACUUAAGUCAUUCAUUGUAAAUAAUAAUUUAUUAACUCUCCCACCUGGUUAAAUAAAUGUAUUAAGUUAAAUUGAACUUCUUUCCUCCUUUAUUUUGAUCUUUUUUCAGGAAGUGUGUUUGAUUCGUUUUUCCCCUGAGACCGACGAGGAUGAGAUCCACUACACUCUGCUCUAUGCCUAUUUCAGUAGCCGUAAACGCUUCGGUGUGGUCGCCAACA